UUUUUGAUGGCAGAUUUAAUUGCAAUAGAUUGUAAAUCUUUUUAUAGUGGAAAACCACUUCUUUUAU
rnacentral:tRNA from 1 species